rnacentral:rRNA from 1 species
UACGUAGGUGGCAAGCGUUGUCCGGAUUUAUUGGGUUUAAAGGGUGCGUAGGCGGCCCUGUAAGUCAGUGCUGAAAUAUCCCGGCUUAACCGGGAGGGUGGCAUUGAUACUGCGGGGCUAGAGUACAGAUGAGGUAGGCGGAAUUGACGGUGUAGCGGUGGAAUGCUUAGAUAUCGUCAAGAACACCUAUAGCGAAGGCAGCUUACUAGGCUGUAACUGACGCUGAGGCACGAAAGUGUGGGGAUCAAACAGG